rnacentral:rRNA from 1 species
CAGUCGCCGCGGUAAUACGUAGGGCGCAAGCGUUAUCCGGAAUUAUUGGGCGUAAAGCGCGUGUAGGCGGUUACUCAAGUCAGAGGUGAAAGCCCGGGGCUCAACCCCGGAACUGCCUUUGAAACUAGGUGACUAGAAUCUUGGAGAGGUCAGUGGAAUUCCGAGUGUAGAGGUGAAAUUCGUAGAUAUUCGGAAGAACACCAGUGGCGAAGGCGACUGACUGGACAAGUAUUGACGCUGAGGUGCGAAAGCGUGGGGAGCAAACAGGAUUAGAUACCCCCGUAGUCCCUGUCUCUUAUAC